rnacentral:lncRNA from 1 species
AUUUGUGUAGUUUUUUAUGUUGGUGACUCAAGAGUUAAACUUUCAAUCUUUAUCUAGAAGUGAAAGGAUUUCCCUAGCUUCCCUCCUGUCUUCAAUCUUACAAGAAAAGUUCCAAGGGAAUAACUGGACUCAGGGCCUACAUUUCAUAUGGUAGGUGUUCAAUAAAUGUGUACAGAGUAUUUUUAAAUGAAUAAACUCUAACCACAAUUAGAGAAUACCUCUCUUACUG